GUCUGUAUGAGAGUUAUAUAAAGUCUGGCCUGCCCAUUGGGAACUAAAAGGCCGCGGUAUUGUGACCGUGCGAAGGUAGCAUAAUCAUUAGUCUUUUAAUUGGAGGCUGGAAUGAAUGGCUGGACGAGAAGUAAGCUGUCUUUAUCUCAGAAGUUGAAUUUAACUUUUAAGUGAAAAGGCUUAAAUGAAUUAGAGGGACGAUAAGACCCUAUAAAGUUUAAACACUGAGUUAGUUAAGAGUGAUUUAGAAUAGUAAGGUUUAUUAUUAGUUAGGUGUUUGGUUGGGGCGACUAGAAUAUAAGUUAUAUAACUGUUUUUUAUUUGAAUCAGAGAUAUCUGUUCAUAUGAUCCCUUUUUAGGAUUAAAGAGUAAAUUACUUUAGGGAUAACAGCGUAAUUUUUUUUGAGAGUUCUUAUCGACAAAAGAGUUUGCGACCUCGAUGUUGAAUUAAAAUUUCUUUGUGGCGUAGCAGUUACAAAAGAAGGUCUGUUCGACCUUUAAAUUUUUACAUGAUUUGAGUUCAAACCGGCGUGAGCCAG
rnacentral:rRNA from 1 species